rnacentral:rRNA from 1 species
UACAGAGGUCUCGAGCGUUAGGCGGAAUCACUGGGCUUAAAGCGUGUGUAGGUGGUUCGUUAAGUACCUUGUGAAAUCCCACGGCUUAACCGUGGAACUGCUUGGUAUACUGGCGGUCUUGAGCCACUUAGGGGCUACCGGAACAAAUGGUGGAGCGGUGAAAUGCGUAGAUAUCAUUUGGAACGCCAAUGGUGAAGACAGGUAGCUGGGAGUGUGCUGACACUGAGACACGAAAGCCAGGGGAGCAAACGGG